UACAGAGGUCUCAAGCGUUGUUCGGAUUCAUUGGGCGUAAAGGGUGCGUAGGUGGCGGGGCAAGUCUGGUGUGAAAUCUCGGGGCUCAACUCCGAAACUGCACUGGAUACUGCCUUGCUCGAGUACUGGAGAGGAGAUUGGAAUUUACGGUGUAGCAGUGAAAUGCGUAGAUAUCGUAAGGAAGACCAGUGGCGAAGGCGAAUCUCUGGACAGUUACUGACACUGAGGCACGAAGGCCAGGGGAGCAAACGGG
rnacentral:rRNA from 1 species